rnacentral:rRNA from 1 species
GAGUUUGAUCCUGGCUCAGGAUGAACGCUAGCGGCAGGCUUAACACAUGCAAGUCGAGGGGUAUAGUUCUUGGAGCUAGAGACCGGCGCACGGGUGCGUAACGCGUAUGCAAUCUACCUUUUACAGAGGGAUAGCCCAGAGAAAUUUGGAUUAAUACCUCAUAGUAUAGCAGUUUCGCAUGAAACCACUAUUAAAGUCACAACGGUAAAAGAUGAGCAUGCGUCCCAUUAGCUAGUUGGUAAGGUAACGGCUCACCAAGGCGACGAUGGGUAGGGGUCCUGAGAGGGAGAUCCCCCACACUGGUACUGAGACACGGACCAGACUCCUACGGGAGGCAGCAGUGAGGAAUAUUGGUCAAUGGACGCAAGUCUGAACCAGCCAUGCCGCGUGCAGGAUGACGGUCCUAUGGAUUGUAAACUGCUUUUGUACAGGAAGAAACCCUGGCUCGUGAGCCAGAUUGACGGUACUGUAAGAAUAAGGAUCGGCUAACUCCGUGCCAGCAGCCGCGGUAAUACGGAGGAUCCAAGCGUUAUCCGGAAUCAUUGGGUUUAAAGGGUCCGUAGGCGGUCUAGCAAGUCAGUGGUGAAAUCUCCCCGCUCAACGGGGAAACGGCCAUUGAUACUACUAGACUUGAAUUAUUAGGAAGUAACUAGAAUAUGUAGUGUAGCGGUGAAAUGCUUAGAUAUUACAUGGAAUACCAAUUGCGAAGGCAGGUUACUACUAAUUGAUUGACGCUGAUGGACGAAAGCGUGGGGAGCGAACAGGAUUAGAUACCCUGGUAGUCCACGCCGUAAACGAUGGAUACUAGCUGUUGGGCGCAAGUUCAGUGGCUAAGCGAAAGUGAUAAGUAUCCCACCUGGGGAGUACGUUCGCAAGAAUGAAACUCAAAGGAAUUGACGGGGGCCCGCACAAGCGGUGGAGCAUGUGGUUUAAUUCGAUGCAACGCGAAGAACCUUACCAAGGCUUGACAUAUAGAGGAAAAGUGCAGAAAUGUACUCCCCGCAAGGUCUCUAUACAGGUGGUGCAUGGUUGUCGUCAGCUCGUGUCGUGAGAUGUUGGGUUAAGUCCCGCAACGAGCGCAACCCUCGUCCUAUGUUGCCAGCACGUAAUGGUGGGAACUCAUGGGAUACUGCCGGUGACAAACCGGAGGAAGGUGGGGAUGACGUCAAGUCAUC